rnacentral:rRNA from 1 species
GACGGGGGCCCGCACAAGCGGUGGAGUAUGUGGUUAAUUCGAUGCAACGCGAAGAACCUUACCUGGUCUUGACAUCCCGGAGACCCUUAGGAAACUAGGGGGUGCUUCCAUCUGGAAGAAUCUGGAGACAGGUGCUGCAUGGCUGUCGUCAGCUCGUGUCGUGAGAUGUUGGGUUAAGUCCCGCAACGAGCGCAACCCUUGCCUUUAGUUGCCAGCAGUUCGGCUGGGCACUCUAAAGGGACUGCCGGUGUUAAACCGGAGGAAGGUGGGGAUGACGUCAAGUCCUCAUGGCCUUUAUGACCAGGGCUACACACGUACUACAAUGGCCGAUACAAAGGGCAGCGACACUGCGAGGUGAAGCCAAUCCCGUAAAAUCGGUCUCAGUCCGGAUUGGAGUCUGCAACUCGACUCCAUGAAGUUGGAAUCGCUAGUAAUCGUGGAUCAGCAUGCCACGGUGAAUACGUUCCCGGGCCUU